UAUCUUUUUUUUGUCCCUUCAUUCGUUCAUUCACUCUCUCUCUCUCUCUCUCUCUUUCUCUCUCUCUCUCUCUCACACACACACACACACACUGGCAGUUCUGAUCAAGAUAAAUCGAUAAUAGAUGGUUUCAAAUCGUUGACGUAGUGAUUGGAUUGCAACGAAUGAGAAAAUCAUUGUUUGAAAUCGGUCCAAAUCAACGGCCUCUCAGAUCUUUUUCGUUUCGGUAGUGAUGAUCUUGUUCCAACGAUUCAGGCUAUCACUUAGCUCAAAGGAUGAGAAGUAAUGGCAAGGCAAAUGAGGGGGAACAUCAUUGAUCUCGAACAGUUCUUUAUUGUUGGGCAACCAGAGUCUAAGAAGACAAUUGUUAAAGCGUCCACCUCCUCAGCAACAUUUAGCUGAGUAGGAUAGGAGGACUACUUCCUCUCCUAUAAAUAUCUCGAAAUAAAAGGUUGGUGAGAAAUGUUGGAAUUUUUCUGCCUAUGUGAUAAAACAAUAAAUACUUAUUUAAUAAUUUAUUUUUUAUUCUUGGGAGCUAUACAAAUUUUAUUAGUUGUCUACAUUUGUGGAUAGAAAAUAUGAAGGCAAUGAGGUGUUUUAUAUUUUCUGUAUUUGAUUGCCGGCAUUAGAAGCCUAAAAGGUAUAUUGAGUUUUGUAGAAUGGUUGCUAUAGCUGCCAGAAAACAUGUAUAUCCAACUUGGGAAGAUUAAGACAAUGUUUGGAUUAUGGAUUUAGGAAGACAUUUUGAAAAGAAAAGGAAAAAUGUGUAUGAAAUGUAACUACAUUUCAUCCACUUUUUUCUUUUCCCUUUCCAAACUCUAAUUCAUUCCAAAAAAAAAAAACUCUUCCUAAAACAUCUACAAGGUUUCUUAUUUUUGGAGAGUAGUUGUGAGCUUUGGAGCAUCUGCUAGGGUUUUCCUUUUUCAAGAGCAAUAUGCUUUUCCACUUAGUAGAGUAAGGGUGAGGAUGCCCAAGCCCAAGCUGGUGCUUUUGCUUAGGACUCUACCGUGGGACUUUGCUCUACUUGGUAGAGCCAAGCUCGAUAAGAUGAGCAAUGAAGACUUCACAACAAAAAGUAUCUCUGGAGAAACUUCAACUUUAUUGUCUUAAGUGGACAGAGCUUCGGCAUAUCAAACUGCUAAUAUGGUGGCUAAGGAGGGACUGACAACAGCAGGUAGUGUGGAUCAUGUUUGGCACCCACCAAAUUGGGGUUGGGUUAAGGUUAACUUUGAUGGUAAUGGUGGGGCACAUAGGCUAUCUAAAUUUGCUGGUGAAAGGUUUUGGUGUUAUACUUGGGAUGCAAUGCCACCUGUGUGGCUGGUGGACAUGAUGGGGUCUGCCUGUUUAACUCUUUGGUUUUUUGGCUUCUAUAAAUUAAUGGAAAUCAUGAAGUUCUGGGGAAAAAAAGAAAAAAGGAAAAAAAGG